rnacentral:lncRNA from 1 species
ACAUGCUCACAAUAUGAUGUGCUGUUCCCACUACAGGCUCAAAGUAGCAUCGCCAACGGACUGAGACCAUGAGCCAAAAUAAAGCUUCCCUCCUGUUAAGUGUCUAAAGCAUUUUGUCAGUAGCAGGAAGCUGAUAGAACAGGGACACAUAUGCAAGCAUUUCAACACUGGAAUAUACCACAGGCAUUUAGUCAAGGCACGUGACCAUUCCAAGGCUUUCCAGCGACAGGAGUGGGAUUAGGAAUUGAGGCUUUAGUAGAGUCCUUUAGCAGGCAGGCACCUUCUGGGGAAGUGGAGAGAGCUCACAUUCUACAGCGCUGGAAACUGGGCAUCCAGUCAGGCCCACAGCCACACUUCCUUGCUCUUGCCCUCAAGUCUCCAGCUUAAAUGAAGAUGUCUUUUUUUGUUGUUGUUGUUUUUCUUUUUUUUUUUUUUGUUUUUUUUGUUUUUUUUUCGAGACAGGGUUUCUCUGUAUAGCCCUGGCUGUCCUGGAACUCACUCUGUAGACCAGGCUGGCCUUGAACUCAGAAAUCUGCCUGCCUCUGCCUCCCAAGUGCUGGGAUUAAAGGCGUAUGCCACCACGGCCGGCUAAAGGAAGAUCUUAUUUGCCGAAUUCUCCAUGAUACCAAGUGAGCUUUACAUUCCCCCACAUCGAUCCUCAACUCUUGGGCACUGUUAUUAUCUCUCUGUUAUUAACAGAGACAGGAAGACUUAGGAAAAAAAUCUGAAUUCAGGUCAGCAAGAGAGCUCAGCAAAUAGAGGCGGAUAAGCCUGACAACCUGAGUUGGAUCCCAGAAUCCACAGGCUCUCUCAGGUUGUUCUCUGAACUACACAUGUGUGUGUCAUGGUGUGCUUAUGUGCUUCUGCCUAUACACAUACACAUUCU